GAUGAACGCUGGCGGCGUGCCUAAUACAUGCAAGUCGAGCGAACGGACGAGACGCUUGCUUCUCUGAUGUUAGCGGCGGACGGGUGAGUAACACGUGGAUAACCUACCUAUAAGACUGGUAUAACUUCGGGAAACCGGCGCUAAUACCGUAUAAUCUUUUGAACCGCAUGGUUCAAAAGUGAAAUACGGUCUUGCUGUCACUUCUCGCUGCAUCCGCGCUGCAUUAGCUAGUUGUUACGGUAACGGCUUACCACGGCAACGAUGCAUAGCCGACCGGAGAGGCGGAUAGGCCGCAUGGGAAGGGAGACAGGGACAAGAGGCCUAAGGGAGGCAGCAGUAGGGAAUGGGAGGCAAUAGGCGAAAGAAUGACGGAGCAAGGCGGCGUGAGUGAUGAAGGUGUUGGGAGCGUGAAAAUCGGUUAUGAGGGAAGAACAGAUGUGGAAGGAACUGUGCACAGAUUGACGGUAACUAAUCAGAAAGCCACGGCUAACUACGUG
rnacentral:rRNA from 1 species